rnacentral:rRNA from 1 species
AAUGAACGCUGGCGGCGUGGUUAAGACAUGCAAGUCGAACGGUGUUUCAAAUGUAGCAAUACAGUUGAAACGCAGUGGCGAACGGGUGCGUAACACGUGAACAAUUUACCUUUUAGUGUGGAAUAGCUCGACGAAAGUCGGAUUAAUACCGCAUGUGGUUGUCUCUCGCCUGAGAGGCAUACUAAAGCCGGGGACCGCAAGGCCUGGCGCUAUUAGAGGAGUUCGCGGCCUANCAGCUAGUUGGCGAGGUAACGGCUCACCAAGGCUAAGGACGGGUAGCUGAUCUGAGGAGGAUGAUC